AAUUAAAUCAAAACAAAAGAAAAUGGUUGUUAUCGAUCCUAAAUGGGCUAUUUUGGUGAUCGGUUCUAAGCAACCACGUGUCAGCACCAUUUUUUUUUUUUUUUUGCUUUUCUUUCUUUCUUUACUUUGUUUUUUUCUGUUAGGCUCCUCCUUCUUCAGGUCGUCUCCGUCCUUCUCUGUUACCAGCUCGCCGUCGCGUCUCACCUCUGCCUUGGGUCUUCUUCAUCCUUGUUGACUCAGUCUUGGCUCGUGGUGGUGAUUGAGUUCGUCUUCAGGCCAGCAGACGAACUAAGAGGUAGUGCUUCAUCCUCCGCCGUCGCGUCUCACCUCCGUCGCGUCUCUUGCUUCCCCUGAGUCCUACUGGAGCUGGAGCUUAAUCACCUAGAGAACGAACUCAGAGAUAAGGAUCGAGAAUUAGGGGAAGCACACGCUGAGAUCAAAGCGUUGAGGUUGUCUGAGAGGCAAAGAGAGAAAGCUGUUGAAGAGUUGGAGGAGAAACUCAAGUUAACUGAAUCUCUUCUCCAAGGCAAAAAUCUAGAAAUCAAGAAGAUCAAUGAGUAAAAGAAGGCCUCUAUGGCUGCUCAGUUUGCUGCUGAAGCCACCUUAAGAAGGGUCCAUGCUGCUCAAAAAGAUGAUGACAUGCCUCCUACUGAAGCCAUUCUAGCUCCUUUAGAAGUUGACUUUAAGCUUGCACGCUCUGAGGUGAAUAUAACUCCGGUCGGUUCAGGACUUUAAACACGGCAAAGCCAUAGCCAAAGACUAAAAAGUCCGAUAUUUACGAGGCAUGGAGACGAAAAAGAAGAAACCAGUUAUGCAAAAAGGCAUAAUCACAUAUACAAUAUGAGAAAUGAGGCACAUUCAUGUACUAAAUAAAACAAUACCUAAAUUUUACUGCUUCGUUCCAAAUUUCUUAAGUUCCAAAGGUAGUUGUUCUUUUUUUGUUUCCUUUUGGGUAAAUGCCAAGAUUAGGUUAAAAUAUAGUAUAUAUAUAUUGCAAUGGAAGAAAAAGGUAAUGUUAGGCUUGGUCCAAGAGAUAAAAGGUUCAUAUAUUAUAUAUCAUUGACCAAUUCUGAUUUAAUUUAGUGGAAUUUAAAUUGUAAAGGUGAUCGCGACUCUAGAUCUCAAAUCUUAAUUCAGGGGACAAGGUCGAUGAUCAUCUCAUAUCUGAAGACGAAUUUUGUGCCAAUGGAGUUAGGUCACCUCUUUCUAGCAAAAGAAAAAGAAUGACAAAUAUAUGAAACAUCGAUAUAAUUAAGAUUUAGAAGAAAUAUUUCUAUCAGAUAAGUUUCUUUCCUGUCAAACAUUUGUAUAAGAUAAGCAUUAUAUAAUAUAUAUUAUAUGUGUGUUACAAAAAAAAAAAUAUAUAUAUAUAUUAUAUGUAUAUGCUAUACUAAUAAUAGAUAAGAGUUUGCUUUGUCUGUCUUUACACUACAAGAAAAAAUCAAGGAUUCUGAGGGAAAAAAUCGUCGGAAUUUCGUCGGAAUAACGUUAUUCCGACGACAUACCGACGAAACACGCCGUCGGAAAUAAUUCUUCGGAAUUUCUUUUUUCCUCGGAAAUCCCUCGGAAUUUUCCGACGGAAUUCCGAGGAAAUAAAUUUCCGAGGAAAUUCCGAGGAUCACUAGUUUGUCGGAAAUGUCUUCG